GAUGAACGCUGGCGGCGUGCCUAACACAUGCAAGUCGAACGGAAAGUCCGGACGGUUGUUUUCGGCUGGAAGGCUGAACGUCUGAGUGACAGGCGGGUGAGUAACGCGUGGGUAACCUGCACUUUACAGGGGGAUAGCAGCUGACAACGGCUGAUAAGCCCCCGUAUGUCGGCGGGUGGGCAGGGUCUGCCCGGGGGGUUGGCGAUGAGGCAUAGGAUGGGCUCGCGUCCGAUUAGCCUGAUGGAAGGGUAAAAGCCUACCAGAGCAGCGAUCGGUAGCCGGGCUGGGAGGUCGGACGGUCACGAUGGAGCUGAGACACGGCCCAAACCCCUACGGGAGGCAGCAGUGGGGUAUAUUGCACAAUGAAGGCAACUCUGAUGCAGCGGCGCCGCGUGAGUGAAGAAGUAGUUCGGUAUGUAAAGCUCUAUCAGCAGGGAAGUGGAUGACGGUACCUGACGAAGAAGCCCCGGCUAACUACGUG
rnacentral:rRNA from 1 species